rnacentral:rRNA from 1 species
UACAGAGGUGGCAAGCGUUGUUCGGAAUUACUGGGCGUAAAGGGCGCGUAGGCGGUCCGAUAAGUCCCGUGUGAAAUCCCUCGGCUCAACUGAGGAAUGGCACGGGAAACUGCCGGGCUUGAGUUCGGGAGAGGGAAGCGGAAUUCCGGGUGUAGCGGUGAAAUGCGCAGAUAUCAGGAGGAACACCAAUUGCGAAGGCAGCUCGCUGGGACGUUACUGACGCUGAGACGCGAAAGCGUGGGGAGCAAACAGG